GACGAACGCUGGCGGCGUGCUUAACACAUGCAAGUCGAACGGAAAGGCCCUGCUUUUGUGGGGUGCUCGAGUGGCGAAAGGGUGAGUAACACGUGAGUAACCUGCCCUUGACUUUGGGAUAACUUCAGGAAACUGGGGCUAAUACCGGAUAGGAGCUCCUGCUGCAUGGUGGGGGUUGGAAAGUUUCGGCGGUUGGGGAUGGACUCGCGGCUUAUCAGGUUGUUGGUGGGGUAGUGGCUUACCAAGGCUUUGACGGGUAGCCGGCCGGAGAGGGUGACCGGCAACACGGGGAAAGAGAAACGGCCCAGACGAAUACGGGAGGCAGAAGGGGGGAAGAGUGAACAAUGGGCGGAAGCCUGAGGCAGCAACGCAGAGUGAGGGACGACGGACUUAGGGUUGGAAACCGCGUUGAGCAGGGAAGAAGCGAAAGUGAAGGGACAUGCAGAAGAAGCACAGGCUAAAGACGUG
rnacentral:rRNA from 1 species